rnacentral:tRNA from 1 species
GCGCGGUUGGUGUAAAGGAUAGCACGCGGCCCUUACGAAGCCGAAGGUCUGGGUUCGAUUCCCAGGCUGCGGCU